ACAUGAGGACGACCUCACCAUCUUGGUCACCAUACGGGACGGCCCGG
rnacentral:ncRNA from 1 species